rnacentral:lncRNA from 1 species
UGCCCUUUCACUGGUUCCUGGAAACAGCGUCUCUGUGGUUUGGAGGCAGCUGAGUUCGCCUCAUUCUCAAUCCAGAGUGAGCAGCUGACCCGGGGCUCAUUAGCCAGAUUGUUCCAUUUUCCUGCCCCGGUGAUUGGUUCUAGUACCAUGAAGCCACCAUCAUGCCAAAAAUCUCUGGCUUCUGUCACCUCCUCCUGCAGGUGUGCCUGGCUUGGGGAGAAGCAGGGCACAAGUGGGCUGGGAUGGGAGAAGUCUCCAGCUCCCCCUAGGGACCCCAAACUGUCAAUAUACACAGUCAGGAGGCUGUGUACCUGGGGGGCAGGAAGCAAAUGGCGGGCUCCAUCCAUCAACAAGUGGGCCGCUGUUACUGCAGGGAGACCCCAGCAGAAGGGCCCAUGGAGAGCCUCCCUUUCCGGCUGGGCCCAACAGCUGACUGGGUACUUCAUGGAGUGACCUCAGGAGCAACUGGGCUGUUUUGCAUUAUCAGCAUUCACUGCAGAGCCGCAUGAUAAAUGACGGCCUGUUUCCUCACUUCUGUUUGCGAGGGCACCGCAAAAGGACAUGACACUCAACAGACACACUGAGCCAGAACUCCCCCUGCCCACAGUCUCCAUCCCAGUGAGCACUGUUCUCCCCAUUGUGUGGCUGAUCACAGGGAUGGCAGAACUCCAGCUGAAGCUGGGGAGCGAGAAGGGAGGGUGGGCAGUGGAACUGGAGGAUGGAAAAGUUAAAAGAGUGAAGAUUUUUAUUUUUGCAAUGUGCCCCUCUGCUAACCAUUAUUUCAAGCUUCCUGAAUGGAAAUGAAUCAGGAAAUAGCCGUAGGACUAAUAAAAUCUUACUGGGGAACAGCUGGGGAUAGCAUCAUGGAUCAUUAAUAAUCCCACUAUUGUGUGGGGUCCCUGGCCAUACAUAAAACUGGCGAAUAUCUUUUUUCUCCCAGUGUCCCCACUCGUUAUUUUUGUGAACAACAAAAAUGUAGGUGCAGAGGUUAAAUGACUUGCCCAGGAUCACCUGUGUCCACCAAGGCAGAGCAAAAGUGUUCUUGUGGUUUAGUUUCUUCAUUCAAGCUGGGUGUUCGCCAUGUGGUUAGUUUUCCUGGCUGUGCCCUCUUGUCACCCUUCUGCCUGGAUGAACCCAGCUCCCUUUCAGUCUCAGUCCACAUGGCUCAUAUAUUCCUUUUGCACCCUGAGCCAGAAGGUGACUACUGUCAAACACAUUAUUGCUUCAGUUGAUUGACCUGGUUGGCCUGGCCUGAAUAUUGCCUUAAGCAAAAAACACAUCAAACCUUAAGAAAUGCAUUGUCUAUUAUUCUUCUCUUCUCUUCUUUAUGGUGAGGGACUUUUGCCCAUCUGGCCCUAAAUUUAAAAAAAAAAAAAUGCUCAUAUUGAUUUUUAGCUUCUCUUUCCAUUCAUUCAUUUAUCAGAAGAAUUUAUAAAAUAUCAGAAUUUAUUGAGCACUUACUACAAUGUCAGGUGCAAAUCUAUGUUGAAGUAGUGGCUCGACGAGUUGAGGGGGUCAGGAAGUUUCUCCCGUAUUCUAAACUAGGGUGAUUUAGCUUUAGCCAGGUGAAGAGAAGGCUGGAAGAGAUUCUGGCAGGCACAUAUACCUGGACACAACAGAAUAUAGGGCCCCUCUGAGAAAUGCCCAAGUGUUCAGUUGGCAGGAAGGAGGACUCAGAAAGAGAUGGCCAUGGAGACAUGAAACAGGGAAGGGAACGCUCUCCCUGGAACAGUGGGAAGCCACGAGGGAUUGAAGUACACAUGUUCCUAGCUCUGCCUCCUCUCCAAUCCUAAAACCCUGAUGGCCACAAGAAAAACACAGAUGUGUUUUGAAAAAAAAAACACCUGAUUACCUGGCACUGGCCUCCUUCAGGCCUG